rnacentral:sRNA from 1 species
UGUAUCUGAAGCCUGACGAGGAUGAGAACCUCCGGGGGCAAGAGGUUCGACCCGAGCGAAGCGAGAGAACGUUGCGUCAGCAACGGCCCGCAGGGUGAGCCACGCAGUGGCGAGUCAUCCUCUAUCACCGACCA